GAUGACUAUUGCCUGAACCAGAAGUUGGGUAGCAUCUUGAGUCAAGUCUGGACUCCAUGUGUAAUGCUACUCAGGAUGCUGCAUGUCAACCCUGCAGAGAGGAGAGACGCAGGAACAUACAGAGUAGAGAUCACUGAGGAGGCAACAGGGAAAACAGUGGGAGAUCACACAGUACAGCUGAUUAUAGAAGCUCCCGUGUCUGAUGUGGACCUGUCAAUCAGCUGCUCAGCCAAUGGGGAGAGGAGUGUAAGGUGCUCCUCCAAUGGAGACAGUCCUCAGUUCAGCUGGUCUCUGGAUGGGAGGCCUCUGUGUGAAGCUGAUGUUGAUCUCAGUUCAGAUAACCAGACUCUCCUGAUGAGGGGGGAUGUGACUGGACAACUCACAACUCCAGACUGAUGGAGCUCUGCUCUGGUCAGUGACUUCACACCUGAGUGAUUUACAGUAAUCAUGAUUACCUCUGUAAGAUUUUGUAAAGAUUUUGCUAAUGACCUUUAAAUGCUUGAAUGGUCAAGCCCCCAGCUAUCUCUCUGACCUAUUACAUAAAUACUCCCUGUAAGAAAUCUCUGACUGCUGACUGUUCUCAAAACUAAAUGUAAAUGCUUUUGCUGCUACUACCCCCAAACUCUGGAAUAAACCCCACCCCACAUAUUA